GUCUGACGUCACGGCAGAAGAAGGGACCACAACAACAAAAAGGUUCCCAUUUGAGGAGAGAAAAUACCUGGUAUGCUGUGAGACAGAGGUGUCCAACAAAGGCCGGUAGUCGAAAGACCCCCCGUGGUAAUCUUAGCUCCAAAUGCUGUGGCUACAACGUGGUUUAAUAAGAUUUGUUUGCAGUCUGGAAAGUGUAGGGAGAGAUGAGGAUCUGGAGGUAGCUGGGUGCAGUCUGGUCAAGGCAUCUGUAGGCGAGUACAAGAGUCUUGAACUGGAUGCAAGCGGUGAUCGGGAGCCAGUGGAGUGAGCGGAGCAAUGGAGUAGCGUGGGAGAAGCGAGGCAGAGAGAACACCAGGCGAGCAGCGGAGUUCUGAAUGAGCUGAAGCGGACGGGUUGCGGACGCAAGGAGGCCGGCCAGGAGGGAGUUAGAACAUAAGGACAUAAGAACAUAAGAACUUAAGAACAUAAGAAAGUUUACAAACAAGAGGAGGCCAUUCAGCCCAUCUUGCUCGUUUGGUUGUUAGUAGCUUAUUGAUCCCAGAAUCUCAUCAAGCAGCUUGAAGGAUCCCAGGGUGUCAGCUUCAACAACAUUACUGGGGAGUUGGUUCCAUGCCCUCACAAUUCUCUGUGUAAAAAAGUGCCUCCUAUUUUCUGUUCUGAAUGCCACUUUAUCUAAUCUCCAUUUGUGACCCCUGGUCCUUGUUUCUUUUUUCAGGUAAAAAAAGUCCCCUGGGUUGACAUUGUCUAUACCUUUUAGGAUUUUGAAUGCUUGAAUCAGAUCACCGCGUAGUCUUCUUUGUUCAAAACUGAAUAGAUUCAACUCUUCCUGUCUGCAUACGACAUGCCUUUUAAACCCGGGAUAAUUCUGGUUGCUCUUCUUUGCACUCUUUCUAGAGCAGCAAUAUCCUUUUUGUAACGAGGUGACCAGAACUGAACACAAUAUUCUAAGUGAGGUCUUACUAAUGCAUUGUAAAGUUUUAACAUUACUUCCCUUGAUUUAAAUUCAGCACUUCUCACAAUAUAUCCAAGCAUCUUGUUGGCCUUUUUUAUAGUUUCCCCACAUUGUCUAGAUUAAGACAUUUCUGAGUCAACAUAAACUCCUAGGUCUUUUUCAUGGAUUCUUUCUUCAAUUUUAGUAUCUCCCAUAUGAUAUUUAUAAUGCACAUUUUAUUGCCUGCGUGCAGUACUUUACACUUUUCUCUAUUAAAUGUCAUUUGCCAUGCGUCUGCCCGGUUCUGAAUGCGGUCUAGAUCAUUUUUAAUGAACUUUGUUGCUGCAACAGUGUUUGCCACUCCUCCUAUUUUUGUGUCAUCUGCAAAUUUAACAAGUUUGCUUACUAUACCAGAAUCUAAAUCAUUAAUGUAGAUUAGGAAUAGCAGAGGACCUAAUACUGAUCCCUGUGGUACUCCACUGGUUACCUCGCUCCAUUUUGAGAUUUCUCCUCUUAUCAGUACUUUCUGUUUUCUACAUGUUAACCACUCCCUAAUCCAUGUGCAUGCAUUUCCUUGAAUCCCUACUGCGUUCAGUUUGAGAAUUAAUCUUUUAUACAGGACUUUGGCAAAAGCUUUCUGGAAAUCUAAAUAAACCAUGUUGUAUGCUUUGCAAUAAUCCAUUGUCGAUGUUGCAUCCUAAAAAAAAUCAGGUAGGUUAGUUAGACAUGAUUCCCCUUUCCUAAAACCAUGCUGACUGUCUCCCAGGAUAUUGUUACCAUAUAGGUAAUUUUCCAUUUUGGAUCUUAUUAUAGUUUCCAUAAGUUUACAUAUAAUAGAAGUCAGGCUUAUUGGUCUGUAGUUACCUGGUUCGGUUUUGUCUCCCUUUUUGUGGAGUUGCAGUAGUCUAGGUGGGAGAGUACCAGGGCUUGGACGAGGAGUUGCAUGGUGUAGUUGGUGAGGAAGGGUCAGAUUCUUUGUAUGUUGCUCAGGAAGAAUCGGCAGGUGCGUGCGAGAGUGGAGAUGUGCUGGGAGUAGGAGAGGCAGUGGUCCAGGGUUACUCUAAGGUUCUUGGCUGAAGAGGAAGGAGAGAGCGUGGUAGAUUCCAUAGGAAUGUAGAUAGAGAGAGUAGAGGAGGGGGAAGAUGAAGAGCGGAAGAAAAGAUUGUCAGAUUUAGAGCUUGAGUUUGAGGUAAUGCGAGUGCAUCCAGGAGGAGAUAGCAGACAGACAGGUAGAGAUACGGGAGUGGAUGGUGGGGUCAGAGGGGGGGAAGGCGAGGAAGAUCUCAGCGUCAUCAGCAUAGAAAUUACAUUUUGAAAAAUGUCAAAUUUUUCUAUUUUUGUCAGUUUUUCGUUACGUAUAUGUAUUUAAAUAUGUUAGCGUAACAUUAUUCAGCAAAUGUGAUAAUUCUAUAGGGUGAGUAAUAACAUGCAUGGGAAGAGUGCUGGGCACCAGUAAAGCCCCACCGGCUGUGAAAUGACAUUAAAGUGUGGUUUAGAAAUAAGUAGCAGUACUUUAGAUGCAAACCUUGCGUUGGAUUGGAUUAGGACAGUUGCGCAAUCUUUUA